ensembl:lncRNA
UUUUGUUGAAGAACCCCUUUCAUUCUCUGGGGUACCCGGAAACCUGGAGUACGUGGAGUAUACGCCCUCUGCCUGAGAUCAGUUUCAUGAAGAAGGAUGAAAAGAGGUGAUGACUACUCCGCUCCACUCCCUUUGUCUCCUCACAUGAACUGAAGCCACGUCUCAUGUGCCCACUCAUCCACUGGCACAUUGAAUGUUUCCCCUCCAAGCAUUUCAAAUCCUGUCCUACACUGGUCAAGCCUCUGAACACCUCAACUCAUGCGUCAUACCCUCAUUCAAUCACUGCUGUUAUCCCUUUCUCACACGGUCUGUAAGGCACUAGUUUUGGGCAGUCUGCAGGGAUGACCUAUGGACUUCUGCGGAUAAACUGACUAUCUCGAGGGACAAUCAAGGCGAAACAACAAGGUGGUGGACGGAAUUGCAGAAUCUCCACAUGAGACCUAGAUGGAAUCUGAGGACAAAGUGAGGUAAAUGAUCUCUGAGAAAUUGAAGAUGGACCACAGGAGAAUUGAGGUGGAACGUGCCCACAGGACUGGAAAACCCACCACCGGCCCAGGUGAUAGGCUCAGGCCGAUAGUGGUCAAGUUCCUGAGGUUCAAGGACAAGGUAGCUGUUCUGGAAAGAGCCAUGAACUUGAGAGGACUAUCCUGAAGCUCUGCGCCAGAAGAGGAAAGAACUGCUCCCAGCCAAUGAAAGCUGCCAGAGCGCGUGGGGAUAUUGCAUACAUCCGCUACGACAAGCUCAUUGUCCACCCUCCCUCCCAGAAGCCUGGAAGGGAUGAGAGAGCCACAAGCCUAUGGGUUCGUAGCCUCAACCCCGCAGCACACACACACACACACACACACCAAUUGAUUAAUGGACUGCUGAAUGUAUUUUUUCUCUUGCUUUGUCUGCUCUUUUUAAUAUUAUGUCUACCUCUGAUAAGCUACAAAGGAAAGGACUGAACAUAGCCCAUAUUAAUAUAUGUAGCCUUAAAAAUGAGGUUCAUGAAAUCAGUAACUUGCUAACAUCAGAUAACAUUCAUAUACCUAUUAGCCAUUUCUGAGACUCAGAUAAUUAAUUUGAUGAUACAUCAGUAGCAAUAGAAGGAUAUAACAUUUAUAGAAGAGACAGAAAUGCUUAUGGUGGAGGAGUUGCUUUAUAUAUUCAGAGCCAUAUCCCUGUCAUGCUUAGAGAAUAUCUUUUGUCAAGUGCUUUGAAGUGUUUUGGUUGCAGGUUCACUUGGCACAUCAAAAGCCUUUUCUUUUGGGGUGUUGCUUUUUAUAUAUUUUUUUAUAAAAAGGGGAUAAUAAAGAGUGAAAAUC